GGUUUGAUCAUGGCUCAGAUUGAACGCUGGCGGGAUGUUUUUACAUGCAAGUCGAACGGCAGCACGGACUUCGGUCUGGUGGCGAGUGGGUGAACGGUCGUGAGUACUGCAUCGGAACGUGCCUAGUAGCGGGGGAUAACUACGCGAAAGCGUAGCUACCGCAUACACCCUUCGGGGGAAAGCGGGGGACCUCGGGCCUCGCACUAUUAGAGCGGCCGAUAUCGGAUUAGCUAGGUUGGUGGGGUAACGGCUCACCAAGGCGACGAUCCGUAGCUGGUUUGAGAGGACGACCAGCCACACUGGGACUGAGACACGGCCCAGACUCCUACGGGAGGCAGCAGUGGGGGAAUUUGACAAUGGGGGAAACCCUGAUCCAGCCAUCCCGCGUGUGCGAUGAAGGCCUUCGGGUUGUAAAGCACUUUUGGCAGAAGAAACGGCACGGGAUAAUACCCGUGCAACUGACGGUACCUGCAGAAUAAGCACUGGCUAACUACGUGCCAGCAGCCGCGGUAAUACGUAGGGUGCAAGCGUUAAUCGGAAUUACUGGGCGUAAAGCGUGCGCAGGCGGUUCGGAAAGAAAGAUGUGAAAUCCCAGAGCUUAACUUUGGAACUGCAUUUUUAACUACCGAGCUAGAGUGUGUCAGAGGGAGGUGGAAUUCCGCGUGUAGCAGUGAAAUGCGUAGAUAUGCGGAGGAACACCGAUGGCGAAGGCAGCCUCCUGGGAUAACACUGACGCUCAUGCACGAAAGCGUGGGAGCAAACAGGAUUAGAUAAUUCUGGUAGUCCACGCCCUAAACGAUGUCAACUAAUGUUGGGGCCUUCGGGCCUUGGUAGCGCAGCUAACGCGUGAAGUUGACCGCCUGGGGAGACAUCGCAAGAUUAAAACUCAAAGGAAUUGACGGGGACCCGCACAAGCGGUGGAUGAUGUGGAUUAAUUCGAUGCAACGCGAAAAACCUACCUACCCUUGACAUGUCUGGAAUCCCGAAGAGAUUUGGGAGUGCUCGCAAGAGAACCGGAACACAGGUGCUGCAUGGCUGUCGUCAGCUCGUGUCGAGAUGUUGGGUUAAGUCCCGCAACGAGCGCAACCCUUGUCAUUAGUUGCUACGAAAGGGCACUCUAAUGAGACUGCCGGCAUGCACCGGUGAAGGUGGGGAGCGACGUCAAGUCCUCAUGGCCCUUAUGGGUAGGGCUUCACACGUCAUACAAUGGUCGGGACAGAGGGUCGCCAACCCGCGAGGGGAGCCAAUCCCAGAAACCCGAUCGUAGUCCGAUCGCAGUCUGCAACUCGACUGCGUGAAGUCGGAAUCGCUAGCAAUCGCGGAUCAGCAUGUCGCGGUGAAUACGUUCCCGGGUCUUGUACACACUGCCCGUCACACCAUGGGAGUGGGUUUUACCAGAAGUAGUUAGCCUAACCGUAAGGAGGGCGAUUACCACGGUAGGGACCAUGACUGGGGUGAAGUCGUAACAAGGUAA
rnacentral:rRNA from 1 species